AGGUCAUUUUGAUACUGAUACUUAUGGGCAGCAGAGGGUUCAAAGCCUGACCGUCUCAUGGAUCCGCUGAUAAUAUCCCGGAAGCAGCGCGACAACAAUUCUUCUUCCUCAAAGCAUAUAUUUUCUCCAAGCGAUCAACAAAGUGUUUGGUCCAUUUGGAAGGUACUUGAUGCCUCUUGGUCAGAAGAUGAUGGCGAGUUCCUCAUUCCAAUUGAGUUUAUAUUGUGUAGGUUUCUUCGUCAUGAUCUGGAUUGCCACAGUCAUGUUCAAGUCCAAUGAUAUCUUGUGCAAGCAGACCGCUCUCAAGGUUGGUUCUUCAUAAUAGCUU